CAUCCAUCCAUCCUUCCGCAGCGGGACAGGGAGGAAAACACACAGAUAACGGAGGUGAUUCAGGGCGUUUUGCUCCAGCCUUCGCUCGGACCAGCAGUGACCGGGGAGACAACAUGGUUCACACCAAUGGCCGCGGCGCGACGCUGGGGCCAGACUGCCGCAGCCAUCAGACCCGGCCUGCCAAAGCACCGCUAUCGAUCACCCAGCAAGUCAGGCCUGACAGAGAGGAUCAAGAACAACUGUCCCUGGAUGGACAGAGCAGACGUGUGGGGUGACCUGUGCCCACAGUGACGCUGGUGAUCUCCCCCUAAGUGCAGACUUUAAAACGUGCAGACUUUAUGGCCAACGCCUCUGCUCCCUGCAAAACUGGGCCACGUUCAGCACGGCGAUCAGGGCAGUCAGCCGUCCCGAGGGACACGCAAGACUGCAGCAUGGUCCUGCCAGUCUCCACCAGUUUUUGGGAUGCUUCCCACGACUCCCAGUGCCCCCCGUCGGAGUCACGGCCUCUCCAGGCCGAAGGUGGAUCCGGAUCCAGGCCCAGCCUUGCUGAUGGGGCUGUCCUGUGUGUGCUGGAAGUCCUCACCUGGCCCAGGGGGAAACCUGCUGCUCCGCACAAAUGCAGAGCAAUAAAGUGGAUUUUCUAGUCCCCAAAUUCCACAUGAGGCACGGAGGAAAGCGUGAUAAUGGAAGGGCUCCACUUCGGGAAGGGGGGUUUAAAUAAUUGAGAGAAAUAGUGAGGUGGAAACGAAUGUGCAGAGGGUUUGGGGCUCCCUGGAAGGAAGCGGAGAUGAAAAGAACGGCCUUGCUACAAUAUUCAUAAGGCUCUGAAGGCAAAGGCAGCGGUGCCCUGAAGAGGGUUUAUUGCGUGAGCUGUUCUCCUCCGGAGACCCCGUGAGCGGCUCCGGGAGGCUGGGGCUGCCCGCACAGGCGUGGGAGGCUGUGCCUGGGCCCCAGGGUGCUUUUUACGUUUUAUGGGGCAGCUGUGGGUCUCGUGGCUUUCUGUUAAUGAUGCUGUGUCCAGGAGGAUGCCUCAAUGCAGCCCGGCCCAGCUGUGCGGGGGGUUUGCUGCAGAGUCUGCUGGCAUCGCUCUGUGGCUGCUGGGAACGACGCCAAGGCGACCUGGCCGCUGCUGGCAGCGGGGACCAGCCCUGGGCAAGGCAUCACCGGGCUGCAGGAGAAACGCUGGCGUCCUUAGCCCCCCCGUGCAAUCCCCCAGCCCCCCGGAUCUGGGUCACUGCAGCCCCACGCGGACAGACACAGUUCCUGGGCGGUCAGGGCUGUUUCUCGGGAGAUCUGGCUUCAUUUUAGCAUUCUCCACUUUGGACUUUCCGUUAAUAUAGUGCAAAGAAAUGGGGCACUUUCCACCUCCAGUGCAUCCCGGAGUGCUCGUGCUGGUUUGGGCUGCUCGUCCCAUCCCGGGUAGGAAGAGAGCCCUGCUCUCGUAUGUCCCCCCUUCCUGGCACCCAAGGAAAGGUGUCUCCUAGGGAAGGAAUUGGCCCAAGCUGAGCUUUCUACUCGUCUCCUCCAUAAAAGCGGGGAAAUGCUGCAAAAACUCCCGUCAGUCAGCGUGUCCGGGGAAGAGCCCUUUGCCAGUCCUUACGCCUGAGGUGGCACCACGAAUCUGGAAUUGCUCCUAACAUCCAGGACCCCCCUGACUGCUGCCCAGGGAAAACCUGUUUGGAGGACGUUACCGCCGGAGGCGGACUGCCCCGAAGCAUCCUCCACCCGAUCUUGGAGCAUCUGGUGUCCUCAGGCCUGGCUACGUGGCUGAUCGCCCCGAGGAGAAGCACAGAAGCUCUGAUGAAACCAAUUUUGCCACUGAUCUUCAUCGUCUCCAGCCAAGCCGAGGUCCCCAGGUAGCUCCCCGGCACAGGCUCCGUCGAUGCUCCAGGCAGCAGGACAAAACUCCCAGAAUUUGCUGCUUUCCUCGCUCAGAGGCAGAGGUGGCAGUUUGUGCAAACCACAAACAGCUGGUAUCUCUUGCAUUUUUUCUCUCCAUGUGUUCCCCAUUUUCGGGUGGACUCGGCUGGCACAGCCCAGCAUUAAGGAGAGCCACAAACAUCUGGAACAGCUUUUAGAAAGAAGAGCCUAACAUGCUUUGCCUUUCUCGGCUCACUUCCCAAAGCGCCGACACCGGUGCACGGUUCCGACAGGGCUGUGCCGUGCUGGGCCCCGAGGCUGCCGGCCUCUUCGCCCCGCGCGCUCCCCGGCUCCGACGGAUGCCUUCGGGAAACGCACGCUCUUAAACGCACGCGUGCUUGGAGCUGCCCUUUUCUGCGGAAAUCUAAGCAAGCCGCUGCCUUUUCCUCCCAGCGGGCAGAGGAGGGGGGGUUCCUGCGUGGAGAUGCCCGCAGACUUUUAUUGCUGCGUUAAUGUGAAGUCUGAUUCCCAGCGCGACCGCGGGCGCCCGAAGGCAGCGGGAAGCUCCCUCGCGCUGCGGGGAGCCCUUGCACGUCGUGGCGGCCGGGAGCAGCGGGAGCCGCCUCCGAGGAGCACGGGCAGGGCCGAGCUGCCGUCGUCCCGCAGGAUUUUCCCUGGGUCCGGCUGCGAAGUCAGGGCUGAGAGAAAGGAGAGGAUCUCGGCCGAGGCUGGGAGGAGGCAGGAGGAAGAGGAGGAGAGCGCGAAGCAGCCGCAACCCUGCGAGGGGGGUUCAGUGGCACAAGGUGCUGGAGAGGUGGACAAAAUCCCUGGCAUGAUGAAAUCCUCCCGGGAAGCAGGACUGGGCACGCUUUCUCCGAAAAUACCGAUGAAAGAGAUACCUGGUUUUCCCCCGCGCACGGCAGGGCAGUGCCGCCCCGGCACCGCACGCCGAGGAGCGCAGCCUUCGGCCUCGCGGGCCCCGCCGCGUGCAAGCCCGGCCCCGGGGGCUGCUCAGCACAGCAGCAGCUUUGCGAUAUGAUUUUUUACCUACCCAGGUUGCCGAGCUCUGUCGCCAUGGUGACUAACGGGGUCGGGCUGCUAACGAGGUUUCCGGGCGCUCGCUCAUCCUCCUCCCACCACGACGGCAGGGGCUGCACGGCGGGGGCUGCUGCCACCUCUCCCCAUCCGUCCCCGAGCCCUUGGGGACCGGAGUGCCCGGGGACAGAGCCAGGGCCACCUGGGUGUCCACCAGCACCGGCAGGGAGCCCUGGACAACCUCCUCCUCCUCUUCCUCCUCCUCCUCUUCCUCCUCUCUGCCUGGAGCUGGUGGGGUGAUGCCAACGGCACUAGGACCGUUGUCACACCGGGGGACACUUGCCCACCUUGCCACCCCUUUGACCUGCCACGUUCUCUGGGGUGCAGCCAGUGCAGCCCCCCAAAUUCCCACCUUUCUCUAGACCUGGACCCCGUGAUGCCCCCCCAGAGCCUGCAGCUGGUGGGACGACUCCCACGGAGGGACUCCCGGGGAAGGGGGCUGAGGACCCCCCCCAGCCUGCACCCUCCCACCCCGCUGCCUCGCCCAGAACCCCCUUUCUGCCCCCCUGCAUCCCCAGCGCCCCGGGGGUGGGAGGGUCCCGGGCCGGGCUGUGCGAUGGCGAUGGCGAUGCCGCGGUGCUCAGGGCCGUGGGGGUUGCACAGACGCUGCUCCGCACCGGCGCGGGUCUGCCUGGGGGUCUCUGCAGCGAGGAGAGCGAAGAGUGGGGCUGCAAAAGCUGCUUAAAGGAUUUGAAUUCUUAAUCCCCAUUAGAAAUUAAUGUCCAAAUCCCUGGAGUGGCAGCAAAUCCCACUCCAGAACUUCAUUUUUCUUAAAAAAAGAACAAAAGCUGCGAGCGUGCGGGAGCUGGCAGGCGCGGGAGCCGGGCUGGUUUGUGCCCAGAGCUGCCCACCCGCCCGGGCGCCCUUCGGGAGAGCCAGCCUUAUUUUCCCUUCGGACAUUGGGACCCACUUGAGCCGGCUGAGUAUUUUGAGGCUUUUGGAGGGGAGAGAUGUGCGCGGGUGCCGGGUGCCUCCCAGCAGAGCUUAGGGCCAGGCUGUGGGGCCAGCAGGGUAGAAGGCAUCUCCACGGGCUUGUUUUGGUCCUUCCAGCUGGUCCCAGGGAGGGCUGGCCCUGCUCCGCAGGGCUGUGCUGGAUCCACGGCAUCUCCAGCAGCUCCCCCCGCUCCCAAGCACCACCCAGGAUCUCCCGGACCGACGUCCAGCGCAGGGAUGUCUCCGCUGAGCGGGGCUGCUCCGGGUGCCUCACUCAUUGCGGGACGGAGGCAACCGAGCUCUGACUUGGCAAGGUGAAUUUUGACAAGAGGACGAAGCUCCUUCCCCGCUUGGGAGAAGGAGGAAAGGGAGGAGCAGCGUGUGCUGGAGAUGGAGCAUCCUGGCUGCUUGUUUCCAGCUGUGGGGGAGCAGCCACAGACGCGACUGCUUUUUGCACGUCGCCUUUCCAGCUUUGGGAUGCCUCGGCCCAGCUGCUCCUGGGGUCCCCGGAGCCGUGCCGGGGCCCUUGGCAUCGCCCAGGAGGGACCUGGAGCGGGAGAAGCCAGGCAGCCUCCAGCAGCAGAGGAGACCGGGACUCCCCACCCUGAGCUCUCCACAAAUUCUCCCGUCCCACCGUUCUCCCGGUUUAAUCACCUUCCCCACCGGGGUAGGGAGGUCCCGCUGGGAUGUGUUCACGCGACGCACUGGGAGAAACGUCUGAGCUGAGCCCCUGGCCAGCAGGGAGAGGAGACAAGCAGGAGCCUUUCCCUAGGGCGAGUGUGAGAGGGAGCCUCCGGCAGCCCUGCUGCCUCUGCUUCCAAGGACACGGCCCUCGAGGCAGGAGCGCGCUCGCGGAUGGGUGCUCAGGGUGCAGGAAAAGCCAAAACUCAUGAUAUACACCCACCUCGGCUCCGUCCCCCAGGGACCCGCACCGGGACCUGGUCACGAGUGCCUCAGCACGUGGCAGAUCUCACACGACGAGGGCAUAAAGUUUCUUCCCCGGAGCCGAAAGUGUGUGUGCAAAGCGCGUUGCAUGCCUCCUAACCCACGGUAAUCCCAUUUCCUACCUGGGACGGACACCAAGGGGAUCUCACCCAAGUGCAAUCUCAUCCCUCUCCAACCUGCACGUUAGCGACUUCCUCAGCACCCUCCUCCCAGGCGUUUGGAAAAUACUUUCCUCUUCCUUCUGCUCUUGAAAGCGGCUGAGCAGCCGCGCUUCAGGAAUCCCUGCAGAUUGCAUUGCUUCUAAAGCGAUUCCCAUCUGACUUAGCAAAGGGCUAAGUUAAUUUUACACACGACUGACUUUCACACCUUCGGUAGAAGGCAGUAUCCUCCUCCAUGAGCAGUGCACAUGACAUGUAAUUUGAUUAUUUGUUGAAUGAGGGAGAACAGGCAGCAUAGAAAUUGUAUUUGAUUCCCUAACCAUUGGAGAAGGACUACAGACUGCUCAUUGCAGGAGUGAACUGCAAAGGGAAUUUUCUCCCCAUACAGAUACGACUAAAUAAACAUAUGCAGGGGGUGUGUGUGAACUGCCAAUAGUGAAUUUGGUUGUUUCUUUGCACUGAGAUUCAUCGGCAAGGGUCAUCGCUCAUGUUGAAGCCAAUGAAAAAGUCUGGGUGGGAAAUCGUCUUAAAAUCUGGCUCUGCGUGGCCUUUCCUUGGCAUUUCUGCCUCUUGUUGGACUUGGUGAGAAGCACCUUGCCUGGCUGCGUUUCUGCAGCCACGAUCGUGUGCUGCGCUGCACCAAAUUCAGGCUGCGCUUUACCUUUCCUGCUCUCCGUCUCCGGUGGAAACCUGUGACUUGGGGCUGAGGAGAUUCAUGGGACCACCUCGGGUGGCUCCUGGGACGCCAGAGGUUGCGGGAGCUCUUGCUUGGAGGAGGACGGAGCUGCACAACCCUCGCACGA